rnacentral:rRNA from 1 species
CGGUCAUAUCCACAGAAAGCACCGCAACCCGCUAGAUCUCCGAAGUUAAGCCUGUGUGAGCUUGAUUAGUACUAUGGUGGGCGACCACAUGGGAACAUCAAGUACUGCAA